CAAAAUAGAGCAUGAAUUUAUGCCUCCCUUUUACACUGGGAAGAUAACACAAGUUUAUUUUGA
rnacentral:tRNA from 1 species